rnacentral:ncRNA from 1 species
UGAUAGCUAUGAAGCGUGAGGUUGCUGCGUUUGCAGGUUUUUCCGUGGAGCGAAUGUCAAGGCCGGUUAUCCGGCUAACAAACUGGCGACA